GACAGAGGGUGCAAACGUUGUUCGGAAUUACUGGGCGUAAAGCGCGUGUAGGCGGCCAUCUAAGUCGGGCGUGAAAUCCCACGGCUCAACCGUGGAAGUGCACUCGAAACUGGAUGGCUAGAGUCCUGGAGAGGAAGGUGGAAUGCUUGGUGUAGAGGUGAAAUUCGUAGAUAUCAAGCGGAACACCGGUGGCGAAGGCGGCCUUCUGGACAGUGACGUGACGGCUGAGGCGCGACAGCGUGGGGAGCAAACGAG
rnacentral:rRNA from 1 species